rnacentral:lncRNA from 1 species
CCCAUCUGACUUCUGUUAUUCUCCAACAGGGUGCUCAACUCUAAAAAAUAAAAUGAAGGGAAAAGAAGAAAUGUAUAAAUUACAAUUAAAUAAAUUUACCUCAGAAUUUAACAAGCAAUUUAAUUAUAUAACGGAGAAAAAUUGGGAGAAAUUACAAAAAAUUUGCCUCUUGCAAGGAGUUUCCUUGUCACAAUUUUGACCUGAAGACAAAGGUUGAAUAGCAGCAGUACUCCAUUCAAUACACGGUGUGCCUGAACGAACAUUUUUUUGUCAAAAUCGAAAAUUCUUUAUAUUUUUUAACUACAAUGUCUCUUGAGUCGUUAAAGCAAAAAAAAAAUUCCGUCAAGAUUCUGGAAAGUAAAGGCGCUUUAAAAGUAUUCUGGGGAUAUUAUAUGUCUUAAUGCACAUAGUUCCGUUUGGCAGAAAUACGUCCAAUUGGACGUAUUUAUACGAAAAAGACUUAUUAGCAGAGGCUUAACGUGAAACAUAGUCCCUUUUAGAACAAAUACGUUCAAUUCUAGAUCAACGAGAUGAAAAAGAGUUACGGGCUCAGAGAGGCCCAGUACGAAUCUAAGUUUUUUGUCCAGGAUCUGGAGCUUCCCCCAAAAGAUGACUUUGAAGAGGAUCUAGAUGAAGAUCUUGAUGAUAAACUUGAUGAUGAUUUUGACGAUCUUAAUGAUGGUCUCGAUUUUAAACUUGGUGAACUUGAUGCUAGUCUCGAUAAUAAACUUGAUGAACUUGAUGAUGGUCUCGAUAAUAAACUUGAUGAUCUUGAUGAUGGUCUUGAUGAUGAUCUUGAUGAUGACUGUAUAGAAUACGAACUGCCCAAGGAUGGCGUUGAAGUCGCCUUCAAUAAUAGGCUCGUUAAGGACCCGACCCAUUCUGAUUUUGGCGAUGUUGUAAUACCGUCGACUCCAUUGACAGUUGGGUAUUCACAAGCCGUGUAUCUCACUUCAAAUUCGUCCACCUUCACCGACUUUUCAUUUUCUACGCCCAUGAUUACCGAUACAAACCCGAGCUGAAAAAUUUGAAACUGGAGUUGAACUAACGGCAAACUGAAGGAAGAAGAUGGUGCAGCUUAUGAUUUGAAUGGGUCA